AUGAAGGAAAAUGAUAAUAAUGUUCCUAGUUUUAGUUUACCUGCAGUUAGUGCAAAAGAUGGUGUAUGUAAUUAUAUAACUGAUACGAGUAUGCGUCAAGAUGGUGAGGAAUGUGACCAGUUAGCGAUAGAAGAUAGAACAGUAGAUAGAUCACAGACAGAACAACUAACCAAACAAUCGUCUAAAGAACCUAUUGAACAACCAAGCGAUUUGGAAAAAAAAAAAAAUAACUUUAACGAAUCGUCUGACUUGAAAGACUCUCAAGUGAAAGACUCUGACGUGAAAGACUCUCAAGUGAAAGACUCUCAAGUGAAAGACUCUGACGUGAAAGACCCUCAAGUGAAAGACUCUGACGUGAAAGACCCUCAAGUGAAAGACUCUGACGUUAAAGACUCUGACGUGAAAGACUCUGACGUGCAAAGCAAAACGGAAAACACCAAUAUUAAAAAAAAAACAUCAACAGAAAAACACGUUUCUGUAAAUACGGAUGAACAUAGUAAAACUAAUGAAAAAGAUAAUAUAAUAACAGAAGUAAAAAAUAUGGAACUAGAAUCUAAUAAUUCACUACAAAAUAUAUAUAGUAGUGAAAAUGAUGCUAUACGUAACGAAUUAGUCGAAACAAGUACUCGAGAAAAUAUUCCAUUGUACAGUGGUGAUAAUAACGUACAUACUAAUUUAUAUGAAAAUACAAAUAAAAAUAAUAAUAAUACUAAUAACUAUAACAAUUCAACUGAACUAGCAACAAAAGAUACAAUGUUAAACAAUAUGAAUGUUCAUAAUAAUAAAAAUAUAUAUAUGCUUAGUUCACAUGAUAAUGUAUUAUUUUAUAAAUAUAUAUAUGAAGAACCAAAAGGUAAUAUAGGAAAGUAUUUCCGCUUUUUAGUUAAAAAUUAUUAUGUACCUUUUUUAUCAUCGAAAAAAGGAAAAAUAGUAGUAUAUAUAAUAUUUUUAAUAACAAUAAUAUUAUCAUUAUAUGGAUGUACAAAAAUGAAAAAAGGAAUAAAAUAUGAUAAAGCAUUUCCAUCUGAUUCUUAUGUUCGUUUAUUUUUUAAAGCUAGAUUAGAACAUUACCCUCAACUUGGAGAUAUGAUACAAGUAUUUUUUUUGACAAAGAUUUUUUAAAAAAGUAUCAAAAAUUAAAACAUACAGAUAAUAUUAAUACAUCAUCUAUUUUAUAUUCAGAUAAAACAGAUAGAGAAAUGAUGAACAAUCCUAAAUUAAAUAGAAAUAUACCAUGGCAUGAUUCGAAUAUUCAUAAUCACAUAAUAAAUAUGCAAAAAGCAUUGGAAAAACA
rnacentral:lncRNA from 1 species